AUUGAACGCUGGCGGCAGGCCUAACACAUGCAAGUCGAACGAGUGGCGGACGGGUGAGUAAUGUCUGUGAACCUGCUUUAUGGAGGGGGAUAAUUACUGGAAACGGACGUUACUACCGCAUAACAUUCGCUGUGCCCUGAUUGCAUUAGCUAGUAGGUGGGGUAAAGGCUAACCUAGGCGACGAUCCCUAGCUGGUCUGAGAGGAUGACCAGCCACACUGGAACUGAGACACGGUCCAGACUCCUACGGGAGGCAACAGUGGGGAAUAUUGCACAAUGGGCGCAAGCCUGAGACAGCCACGCCGCGUGUAUGAAGAAGGCCUUCGGGUUGUAAAGUUCUGUCAGCGGGGAGGCGUUACCCACAGAAGAAGCACCGGCUAACUCCGUGCCAGCAGCCGCGGUAAUUC
rnacentral:rRNA from 1 species